ACGGAAGGCAGCAGUGGGGAAUAUUGCACAAUGGGGGAAACCCUGAUGCAGCGACGCCGCGUGAGUGAAGAAGUAUUUCGGUAUGUAAAGCUCUAUCAGCAGGGAAGAUAAUGACGGUACCUGACUAAGAAGCCCCGGCUAACUACGUGCCAGCAGCCGCGGUAAUACGUAGGGGGCAAGCGUUAUCCGGAUUUACUGGGUGUAAAGGGGGCGUAGGUGGUAUGGCAAGUCAGAAGUGAAAACCCGGGGCUCAACCCCGUGGAUUGCUUUUGAAACUGUCAAACUAGAGUACCGGAGAGGUAAGCGGAAUUCCUAGUGUAGCGGUGAAAUGCGUAGAUAUUAGGAGGAACACCAGUGGCGAAGGCGGCUUACUGGACGGUAACUGACACUGAGGCACGAAAGCGUGGGGAGCAAACAGGAUUAGAUACCCUGGUA
rnacentral:rRNA from 1 species